rnacentral:rRNA from 1 species
CGCGUAGGCGGCCUGAUAAGUAGGGGGUGAAAUCCUGCGGCUUAACCGCAGGGCUGCCUUCUAAACUGUCAGGCUCGAGCACAGUAGAGGCAGGUGGAAUUCCCGGUGUAGCGGUGGAAUGCGUAGAGAUCGGGAAGAACAUCAGUGGCGAAGGCGGCCUGCUGGGCUGUUGCUGACGCUGAGGCGCGACAGCGUGGGGAGCAAACAGGAUUAGAUACCCUGGUAGUCCACGCCGUAAACGAUGGGCACUAGGCGUCGGGGGGAGCGACCCUCCCGGUGCCGUCGCUAACGCAGUAAGUGCCCCGCCUGGGGAGUACGGCCGCAAGGCUGAA